AAAUUGAAGAGUUUGAUCAUGGCUCAGAUUGAACGCUGGCGGCAGGCCUAACACAUGCAAGUCGAGCGGUAGCACAGAGAGCUUGCUCUCGGGUGACGAGCGGCGGACGGGUGAGUAAUGUCUGGGAAACUGCCUGAUGGAGGGGGAUAACUACUGGAAACGGUAGCUAAUACCGCAUAACGUCGCAAGACCAAAGUGGGGGACCUUCGGGCCUCAUGCCAUCAGAUGUGCCCAGAUGGGAUUAGCUAGUAGGUGGGGUAACGGCUCACCUAGGCGACGAUCCCUAGCUGGUCUGAGAGGAUGACCAGCCACACUGGAACUGAGACACGGUCCAGACUCCUACGGGAGGCAGCAGUGGGGAAUAUUGCACAAUGGGCGCAAGCCUGAUGCAGCCAUGCCGCGUGUGUGAAGAAGGCCUUCGGGUUGUAAAGCACUUUCAGCGGGGAGGAAGGCGGUGAGGUUAAUAACCUCACCGAUUGACGUUACCCGCAGAAGAAGCACCGGCUAACUCCGUGCCAGCAGCCGCGGUAAUACGGAGGGUGCAAGCGUUAAUCGGAAUUACUGGGCGUAAAGCGCACGCAGGCGGUCUGUCAAGUCGGAUGUGAAAUCCCCGGGCUCAACCUGGGAACUGCAUUCGAAACUGGCAGGCUAGAGUCUUGUAGAGGGGGGUAGAAUUCCAGGUGUAGCGGUGAAAUGCGUAGAGAUCUGGAGGAAUACCGGUGGCGAAGGCGGCCCCCUGGACAAAGACUGACGCUCAGGUGCGAAAGCGUGGGGAGCAAACAGGAUUAGAUACCCUGGUAGUCCACGCUGUAAACGAUGUCGAUUUGGAGGUUGUGCCCUUGAGGCGUGGCUUCCGGAGCUAACGCGUUAAAUCGACCGCCUGGGGAGUACGGCCGCAAGGUUAAAACUCAAAUGAAUUGACGGGGGCCCGCACAAGCGGUGGAGCAUGUGGUUUAAUUCGAUGCAACGCGAAGAACCUUACCUGGUCUUGACAUCCACAGAACUUAGCAGAGAUGCUUUGGUGCCUUCGGGAACUGUGAGACAGGUGCUGCAUGGCUGUCGUCAGCUCGUGUUGUGAAAUGUUGGGUUAAGUCCCGCAACGAGCGCAACCCUUAUCCUUUGUUGCCAGCGGUCCGGCCGGGAACUCAAAGGAGACUGCCAGUGAUAAACUGGAGGAAGGUGGGGAUGACGUCAAGUCAUCAUGGCCCUUACGACCAGGGCUACACACGUGCUACAAUGGCAUAUACAAAGAGAAGCGACCUCGCGAGAGCAAGCGGACCUCAUAAAGUAUGUCGUAGUCCGGAUUGGAGUCUGCAACUCGACUCCAUGAAGUCGGAAUCGCUAGUAAUCGUAGAUCAGAAUGCUACGGUGAAUACGUUCCCGGGCCUUGUACACACCGCCCGUCACACCAUGGGAGUGGGUUGCAAAAGAAGUAGGUAGCUUAACCUUCGGGAGGGCGCUUACCACUUUGUGAUUCAUGACUGGGGUGAAGUCGUAACAAGGUAACCGUAGGGGAACCUGCGGUUGGAUCACCUCCUUACCUUAAAGAA
rnacentral:rRNA from 1 species